rnacentral:rRNA from 1 species
GUAGGGAAUAUUGGACAAUGGGGGCAACCCUGAUCCAGCGACGCCGCGUGAUUGAUGAAGGCCUUCGGGUCGUAAAGCUCUGUUGCAGGGGAAGAACACAAUGACGGUACCCUGCUAGAAAGGAUCGGCUAACUUCGUGCCAGCAGCCGCGGUAAGACGAGGGAUCCUAGCGUUGUUCGGAAUUAUUGGGCGUAAAGCGGGUGCAGGUGGCUUGGUAAGUCAGAUGUGAAAGCCUGGGGCUUAACCCCAGAAGUGCAUUUGAUACUGCUGAGCUUGAGUGCUGGAGAGGCUAUGAGAAUUCCUGGUGUAGUGGUGAAAUACGUAGAUAUCAGGAGGAAUACCGGAGGCGAAGGCGGAUAGCUGGCCAGACACUGACACUCAGACCCGAAAGCGUGGGGAUCAAACAGGAUUAGAAACCCUUGUAGUCC